GUAUUAAAGGUGUUGCCUGCCCAGUGAAACAAUUUUAACGGCCGCGGUAUCCUAACCGUGCAAAGGUAGCGUAAUCACUUGUCUUCUAAAUAAAGACUCGUAUGAAAGGCUAAAUGAAGACAAAACUGUCUCUUAUAGUUAACCAGUUAAACUGAUCUUCAAGUUCAAAAGCUUGAAUAAACACAUAAGACGAGAAGACCCUGUGGAGCUUAAAACUAACAUUAUAAAUCAAAUAGUACAAGUUUUAAGUUGGGGCGACUUCGGAAUAAAACAAAACUUCCGAGCACAGAAUCACCCAUUCUAACUUAGACCAACAAGUCAAAGAAUAAUAAUGACCCAGUCAUACUGAACAACGAACCAAGUUACCCCAGGGAUAACAGCGCCAUCUUCUUCAAGAGUCCAUAUCGACAAGAAGGUUUACGACCUCGAUGUUGGAUCAGGACACCCAAAUGGUGCAGCAG
rnacentral:rRNA from 1 species